rnacentral:tRNA from 1 species
GGUGUUGUGGCUCAGUGGUGGAGUGCUUGCCUAAAAUGCAUGAGGCACUGGGUUCGAUCCCAGGCACCA